rnacentral:lncRNA from 1 species
AUGCAGAAAAAGACUGGACUGCAGGCCAUUUCUGGUCAUUUUUCCCUGUUCUGCCGAAUCCCAAGCACCCCUGAAUGCAGUCCAUUGGUUUUGGGAUGUGGAGAGCCGUAUGUGCAGCCCCACUUUUCUAAGACGGCACUCGACUGGGCAGUGAAGCACGGCAAUCUUGAGAUGGCAGAGAUGGUCGCCAAAGCAGGCGUCGAUGUCAAUGCUAAAUCGGUAAGUGAUGACAGAUGUUUCAUUGGUUUCUUCUGUGUUGGUCUCUCUGGGCGGUAUUUAUGCAUGCACAACUUACAGUGCCACUGCUCACUCUCUAUAUAUAUGCCUGAAGCUUUGUGA